UUAACUUGAUUUUACAAUGUGUUUAGCUUGAAAAUACAUUUAUGAUUUAUUUAUUUAUUGUUGUGGAAAAUCUGUGUAUUUCUGAAAACGUUCUUCUUUUUCAAUCUUUGCAUUACUCUUUCCAUCUUCAUGACAUGGUCUGAGCGUCACAAUGGUGAAUAAGUCACCACAAUGACAUGGUAAGGUACAGUAAAUCAUCUGACAGCAGUAUAAAUUACACCCAAUCUGAAUGUUUUGUAUAUGAAUACAUGUAUUUAGUUGUUUUAAAGUGCAAAUUCACUGCAUUUGUUUCUUUUUGUGCAUAACUCUUUUCAUUUGCAUGUCAUGGUAUGAGCAUCAAAAUGGCAAACUUAUGACCGCAAUAAAAGGUAAUUAAAAUUUCAAAGUUUUCUAAAAACAUUAACACGCGUAUUAGCGGAUGUUAAGUUCCAGCAUAAACCUUUAUUUUCAGAAAAUCACUAUUUCUGAACAAUUUCCUCCUUAUUUUUUAUUUUUUGCAUGACUCUUGUGUCUACAUGCAAUUGUUUGAGUCAUCACCAUGACAAUAUGGUAAGUAAUAACAGCAUUAAAAAUCUGUAUUAACUUUUUUUUUUUUUACUUUUUUUGAGCACAUUCUUUGGUUGCAUGAUUUUUCCAUCUACAUGACAGAGUUUGAGCAUCAAGAAGGCUAACUUAUCACAGCAGUGAAGUUUGAGUGUCACAAUGAUAAAUAUGGGAAGAUCACAUGACCGCAAUAAAGGCGUGAACAUCAGUAAUCUGGACAUUCUCGGGCGGCUCUUGUUUGGACUCAGUCGCUGGCUGCUGCUCUCCGCUGGCAUGACUCAAGAUCUCUUCAUACACUGUCUGCUACAUGCUUUCUGCUAGUGCUGCAGCUGUGUCUAGACAACUGUUGGGACAUUUCAUGCAACCUGUAUGCAUUUCUUUCUUCUGUUGUACACAAAAGAUUUUGACUUUUGAACUAUGUUGGUAACAAACAGCUGAGAGUAGCCAUUGACUUUUAUUGAAUGAAAUAAAAAAUACUAUGGAACUC